rnacentral:misc_RNA from 1 species
UACGACUACCUCAUGAUUCUCCGCAG